rnacentral:rRNA from 4 species
UUGACCUCAAAUCAGGUAGGAGUACCCGCUGAACUUAA